GAUCAUGGCUCAGAUUGAACGCUGGCGGCGGGCCUAACACAUGCAAGUCGAACGGUAACAGGAAACAGCUUGCUGUUUCGCUGACGAGUGGCGGACGGGUGAGUAAUGUCUGGGAAACUGCCUGAUGGAGGGGGGAUAACUACUGGAAACGGUAGCUAAUACCGCAUAGCGUCGCAAGACCAAAGAGGGGGACCUUCGGGCCUCUUGCCAUCGGAUGUGCCCAGAUGGGAUUAGCUAGUAGGG
rnacentral:rRNA from 1 species